GAUGAACGCUGGCGGCGUGCCUAAUACAUGCAAGUCGAGCGAACAGAUGAGGAGCUUGCUCCUCUGACGUUAGCGGCGGACGGGUGAGUAACACGUGGAUAACCUACCUAUAAGACUGGGAUAACUUCGGGAAACCGGAGCUAAUACCGGAUAAUAUAUUGAACCGCAUGGUUCAAUAGUGAAGGACGGUUUUGCUGUCACUUAUAGAUGGAUCCGCGCCGCAUUAGCUAGUUGGUAAGGUAACGGCUUACCAAGGCAACGAUGCGUAGCCGACCUGAGAGGGUGAUCGGCCACACUGGAACUGAGACACGGUCCAGACUCCUACGGGAGGCAGCAGUAGGGAAUCUUCCGCAAUGGGCGAAAGCUUGACGGAGCAACGCCGCGUGAGUGAUGAAGGUCUUCGGAUCGUAAAACUCUGUUAUUAGGGAAGAACAAAUGUGUAAGUAACUAUGCACGUCUUGACGGUACCUAAUCAGAAAGCCACGGCUAACUACGUG
rnacentral:rRNA from 1 species